GGGGUGUGAAAGUUCAACACAUGGCCUACCUAUUUAUGUACCUGUUUGCUGAUCUGGUAAGUCUAUCUUGACAAGUAGCAUCUCAGAUAUGUUGAUAUAAUCUGACUAGACGUUGAUUCUAUUCUAAUAACAAGUCCGCAUUCAUCAGCACAAGCUUAAACUACAUGCUUUCUUUGAUAACUUUUCCUAUAUUGGACUUCCAAAC
rnacentral:lncRNA from 1 species